UGGGGAAUAUUGGACAAUGGGCGGAAGCCUGAUCCAGCAACGCCGCGUGAGGGAUGACGGCCUUCGGGUUGUAAACCUCUUUCAGCACAGACGAAGCGCAAGUGACGGUAUGUGCAGAAGAAGGACCGGCCAACUACGUGCCAGCAGCCGCGGUAAUACGUAGGGUCCGAGCGUUGUCCGGAAUUAUUGGGCGUAAAGGGCUCGUAGGCGGUUUGUCGCGUCGGGAGUGAAAACACCGGGCUUAACUCGGUGCUUGCUUUCGAUACGGGCAGACUAGAGGCAUUCAGGGGGAGAACGGAAUUCCUGGUGUAGCGGUGAAAUGCGCAGAUAUCAGGAGGAACACCGGUGGCGAAGGCGGUUCUCUGGGAAUGUCCUGACGCUGAGGAGCGAAAAGUGUGGGGAGCGAACAGGAUUAGAUACCCUGGUAGUCCACACCGUAAACGUUGGGCGCUAGGUGUGGGAUCCAUUCCACGGGUUCCGUGCCGCAGCUAACGCAUUAAGCGCCCCGCCUGGGGAGUACGGCCGCAAGGCUAAAACUCAAAGGAAUUGACGGGGUCAUAGCUGUUUCCU
rnacentral:rRNA from 1 species